GAUGAACGCUAGCGGCAGGCCUAAUACAUGCAAGUCGGACGGGAUUGAGAAGCUUGCUUUUCAUGAGAGUGGCGCACGGGUGCGUAACACGUAUGUAACCUACCUUAAUCAGGGGGAUAGCCUCUCGAAAGAGAGAUUAACACCGCAUAAAAUCAAUUUAUGGCAUCAUAGAAUGAUCAAAUAUUUAUAGGAUUAAGAUGGGCAUGCGGAACAUUAGCUAGUUGGUAAGGUAACGGCUUACCAAGGCUACGAUGUUUAGGGGAUCUGAGAGGAUGACCCCCCACACUGGUACUGGGACACGGACCAGACGCCUACGGGAGGCAGCAGUAAGGAAUAUUGGUCAAUGGGCGCAAGCCUGAACCAGCCAUGCCGCGUGCAGGAAGACGGCCCUACGGGUUGUAAACUGCUUUUGUACCGGAAUAAACCUUUGUAUGUAUACGAAGCUGAAUGUACGGUAAGAAUAAGGAUCGGCUAACUCCGUGCCAGCCGCCGCCGUAA
rnacentral:rRNA from 1 species